rnacentral:rRNA from 1 species
UAGUGGCGCAGCUAACGCACUAAGUAGACCGCCUGGGGAGUACGGCCGCAAGGUUAAAACUCAAAUGAAUUGACGGGGGCCCGCACAAGCGGUGGAGCAUGUGGUUUAAUUCGACGCAACGCGAAGAACCUUACCUGGCCUUGACAUGCAGAGAACUUUCCAGAGAUGGAUUGGUGCCUUCGGGAACUCUGACACAGGUGCUGCAUGGCCGUCGUCAGCUCGUGUCGUGAGAUGUUGGGUUAAGUCCCGUAACGAGCGCAACCCCUAUCCCUAGUUGCUAGCAGUUCGGCUGAGAACUCUAGGGAGACUGCCGGUGACAAACCGGAGGAAGGUGGGGAUGACGUCAGGUCAUCAUGGCCCUUACGGCCAGGGCUACACACGUGCUACAAUGGUGCGUACAGAGGGCUGCAAACCCGCGAGGGGGAGCUAAUCUCACAAAACGCAUCGUAGUCCGGAUCGGAGUCUGCAACUCGACUCCGUGAAGUCGGAAUCGCUAGUAAUCGCGAAUCAGAAUGUCGCGGUGAAUACGUUCCCGGGCCUUGUACACACCGCCCGUCACACCAUGGGAGUGGAUUGCACCAGAAGUGGUUAGUCUAACCUUCGGGAGGA